rnacentral:rRNA from 1 species
AACAAGGUUUCCGUAUGCGAGGAAUUCUGCAACCACCUCUGAAGCCUUGAAUCCACAAGCCUGCAUCAUGCAGACAACACUAGUCAUUUGCUGGAACUUAAUUGUUUUAAAAACCGGCAGCCACAAUGCUGAUGCAUUGGGGUCCACAGAUCAAGCACUAGUGGUCUACUCGUCCAUAAGACAUCUACCGCACCCCUGUUGGGGCUGUGCCUCCGGGGAAAAUCUUCCGGAGUGCCCGUGACUGCUCUGCGUCUGAGGGGUCUGUAGGUUAACCGAGAUCGGAAGCAGGUCUCUACGCUUUGCUUGUAGAUAUGUUUUGGAGUUCACUUGGUAGAUUAAAAUAUGACCGACCUCCUCUAGUAACAGAGGAGACCUUGUGUUCCGUAGGUGAACCUGCGGAAGGAUCAUU